GCUGGUUAGGAGACGCAGGCGCUUUACUGGCGUCAACACCGGCGAAAAGCUUUGAAAGACAUGUCGAGAUGGAGGCGCUCAGACAUAACAUACAUAUUAUGAGCAGAUAUAGUGCAGCAUAGUUAACAGACUGAUGUCCAACCCAGAUAAGAUUGAUGCCUGUAUUAGAGAGAUGGAUGUAUUUCCCAGAGUCGUCUGUGGACAGAGUUGCUGAGAUUUUCUCCAUGGUGCAUGUUCUCUACGGUAGGAAGAAGUUCAGGACUAGAUGAAUACUGUAACAUAAAAACUAGAUAAUACUGCUAAUUU